AUGAACGCUGGCGGCGUGCCUCAUACAUGCAAGUCGAGCGAACGGACGAGAAGCUUGCUUCUCUGAUGUUAUCGGCGGACGGGUGAGUAACACGUGGAUAACCUACCUAUAAGACUGGGAUAACUUCGGGAAACCGGAGCUAAUACCGGAUAAUAUUUUGAACCGCAUGGUUCAAAAGUGAAAGAAGGUCUUGCUGUCACUUAUAGAUGGAUCCGCGCUGCAUUAGCUAGUUGGUAAGGUAACGGCUUACCAAGGCGACGAUGCAUAGCCGACCUGAGAGGGUGAUCGGCCACACUGGAACUGAGACACGUUCCAGACUCCUACGGGAGGCAGCAGUAGGGAAUCUUCCGCAAUGGGCGAAAGCCUGACGGAGCAACGCCGCGUGAUUGAUGAAGUUCUUCGGAUCGUAAAACUCUGUUAUUAGGGAAGAACAUAUGUGUAAGUAACUGUGCACAUCUUGACGGUACCUAAUCAGAAAGCCACGGCUAACUACGUG
rnacentral:rRNA from 1 species